rnacentral:rRNA from 1 species
UGGGGAAUAUUGCACAAUGGGCGAAAGCCUGAUGCAGCAACGCCGCGUGAGCGAUGAAGGCUUCGGGUCGUAAAGCUCUGUCCUCAAGGAAGAUAAUGACGGUACUUGAGGAGGAAGCCCCGGCUAACUACGUGCC